GGGGCGGUAGCACAGCGGGUUAAGUGCACGUGGCACAAAGCUCAAGGACCUGCGUAAGGAUCUGGGUUCAAGCCCCCGCCUCCCCA
rnacentral:tRNA from 1 species